AUAAGAUGCACUAUAUCAAGAUGCAAUGGCACUAUCUCAGGAAAAGAAUUUCGUCUCAAUUGUGCCAACUGUUUAAAUUUUGUUGAAUUGAGCAUUUACCUGGAAGUUUGCUUGUAAAUCACUAAUGAAUGAAAGAAAGAACAGGGACACAAAAUGAAUCUUUUAACAGAGAACAUUGAUGUAUUGUAGUUGUUUAUAUGGACUAAUGCAAGUGCCAGUACAACCUUCAUUAGUUACUCUCGAAUCUUUAACUUCAGCGGAAACAUGCUGCUGCUCUGAGCUUUACUUCUGGCUACUAUUGUUGGUUUUGAAUCUUAAUAAUUGUCAGUUGUCAUCAAAUGGAAGUAGUCUGACAAUCUUAUUUGUUUGUAUCUGCUAUCCUGAUUUUGUCAUUGAAAAUGGGAUGAAAGGACAAUGAG
rnacentral:lncRNA from 1 species